rnacentral:rRNA from 1 species
CCUACGGGACGCAGCAGUAGGGAAUCUUCCACAAUGGACGAAAGUCUGAGGGAGCAACACCGCGUGAGUGAAGAAGGGUUUCGGCUCGUAAAGCUCUGUUGUUGGAGAAGAACGUGCGUGAGAGUAACUGUUCACGCAGUGACGGUAUCCAACCAGAAAGUCACGGCUGACUACGUGCCAGCAGCCGCGGUAAUACGUAGGUGGCAAGCGUUAUCCGGAUUUAUUGGGCGUAAAGCGAGCGCAGGCGGGUGCUUAGGUCUGAUGUGAAAGCCUUCGGCUUAAACGAAGAAAUGCAUCGGAAACCG